UACGUAGGGGGCAAGCGUUGUCCGGAUUUAUUGGGCGUAAAGAGCGUGUAGGCGGCCAGGCAGGUCCGCUGUGAAAACUCGAGGCUCAACCUCGAGAGGUCGGUGGAAACCGUCUGGCUAGAGUCCGGAAGAGGAGACUGGAAUUCACGGUGUAGCAGUGAAAUGCGUAGAUAUCGUGAGGAAGACCAGUGGCGAAGGCGGGUCUCUGGACAGUUCCUGACGCUGAGGCGCGAAGGCCAGGGGAGCAAACGGG
rnacentral:rRNA from 1 species